UACGGAGGGGGCUAGCGUUAUUCGGAAUUACUGGGCGUAAAGCGCACGUAGGCGGCUUUGUAAGUCAGAGGUGAAAGCCUGGAGCUCAACUCCGGAACUGCCUUUAAGACUGCAUCGCUCGAAUCAUGGAGAGGUCAGUGGAAUUCCGAGUGUAGAGGUGAAAUUCGUAGAUAUUCGGAAGAACACCAGUGGCGAAGGCGACUGACUGGACAUGUAUUGACGCUGAGGUGCGAAAGCGUGGGGAGCAAACAGG
rnacentral:rRNA from 1 species